UUUCAUGGAGAGUUUGAUCCUGGCUCAGGACGAACGCUGGCGGCGUGCCUAAUACAUGCAAGUCGAGCGGACAGAUGGGAGCUUGCUCCCUGAUGUUAGCGGCGGACGGGUGAGUAACACGUGGGUAACCUGCCUGUAAGACUGGGAUAACUCCGGGAAACCGGGGCUAAUACCGGAUGCUUGAUUGAACCGCAUGGUUCAAUUAUAAAAGGUGGCUUUUAGCUACCACUUACAGAUGGACCCGCGGCG
rnacentral:rRNA from 1 species